rnacentral:tRNA from 1 species
GCCGAGGUAGCUCAGUUGGUAGAGCAGCGGACUGAAAAUCCGCGUGUCGUCAGUUCGAUUCUGACCCUCGGCACCA